rnacentral:rRNA from 1 species
UGAGUAACCUGCCCUUCACUCUGGGAUAACUCCGGGAAACCGGGGCUAAUACUGGAUAUGACUCGAACAGGCAUCUGUUUCGGGUGGAAAGAUUUAUUGGUGGAGGAUGGACUCGCGGCCUAUCAGCUUGUUGGUGAGGUAAUGGCUCACCAAGGCGACGACGGGUAGCCGGCCUGAGAGGGCGAUCGGCCACACUGGGACUGAGACCACGGCCCAGACCUCCUACGGGAGCA